GGGAUAACUUCAGGAAACUGGGGCUAAUACCGGAUAGGAGCUCCUGCUGCAUGGUGGGGGUUGGAAAGUUUCGGCGGUUGGGGAUGGACUCGCGGCUUAUCAGCUUGUUGGUGGGGUAGUGGCUUACCAAGGCUUUGACGGGUAGCCGGCCUGAGAGGGUGACCGGCCACAUUGGGACUGAGAUACGGCCCAGACUCCUACGGGAGGCAGCAGUGGGGAAUAUUGCACAAUGGGCGGAAGCCUGAUGCAGCAACGCCGCGUGCGGGAUGACGGCCUUCGGGUUGUAAACCGCUUUCGCCUGUGACGAAGCGUGAGUGACGGUAAUGGGUAAAGAAGCACCGGCUAACUACGUGCCAGCAGCCGCGGUGAUACGUAGGGUGCGAGCGUUGUCCGGAUUUAUUGGGCGUAAAGGGCUCGUAGGUGGUUGAUCGCGUCGGAAGUGUAAUCUUGGGGCUUAACCCUGAGCGUGCUUUCGAUACGGGUUGACUUGAGGAAGGUAGGGGAGAAUGGAAUUCCUGGUGGAGCGGUGGAAUGCGCAGAUAUCAGGAGGAACACCAGUGGCGAAGGCGGUUCUCUGGGCCUUUCCUGACGCUGAGGAGCGAAAGCGUGGGGAGCGAACAGGCUUAGAUACCCUGGUAGUCCACGCUGUAAACGGUGGGUACUAGGUGUGGGGUCCAUUCCACGGGUUCCGUGCCCGUAGCUAACGCUUUAAGUACCCCGCCUGGGGAGUACGGCCGCAAGGCUAAAACUCAAAGGAAUUGACGGGGCCCCGCACAAGCGGCGGAGCAUGCGGAUUAAUUUGAUGCAACGCGUAGAACCUUACCUGGGUUUGACAUGGAUCGGGAGUGCUCAGAGAUGGGUGUGCCUCUUUUGGGGUCGGUUCACAGGUGGUGCAUGGCUGUCGUCAGCUCGUGUCGUGAGAUGUUGGGUUAAGUCCCGCAACGAGCGCAACCCUUGUUCACUGUUGCCAGCACGUUAUGGUGGGGACUCAGUGGAGACCGCCGGGGUCAACUCGGAGGAAGGUGGGGAUGACGUCAGGUCAUCAUGCCCCUUAUGUCCAGGGCUUCACGCAUGCUACAAUGGCUGGUACAGAGAGUGGCGAGCCUGUGAGGGUG
rnacentral:rRNA from 1 species